GCCUGGGUGGCUCAGUCAGUUAAGCGUCUGACUUUGGCUCAGGUCAUGAUCUCAUGGUUUGUGGGUUCGAGCCCUGCGUCGGGCU
rnacentral:tRNA from 1 species